AGAUUCAUUUAGGAGUUCCUUAUCCCCGAGGAUGGCGGAGGCUUUGAUUUGUUCUAAAAAUUGGUAUACUUGUGAGUCUGAAGAGCCUGUUGUGCUUCGACAAUACAUGGAUGAGAUUGAUGGUUUAGAGGCAUGUGAACAAGUUUUUCCAGGUGAUGGCUCGUGUAUUACCUAUGUACCUGAGAAUCUUGGCAGUGGGUCUGGGAGUGGGACCGAUAAGAACAAUUGAAAUCUCAAGGAGCAGGUGGUCAUGGUUGCUUGAUGCAGGCCAUGAAAUGAAUGAAUGCUGGAUUUUGGAUUGGACUUUGUUUUCUAUCUAUUCUUUUGAAAUUUGAACUUGAUUUGUGUUGUUGUAGUCGAUUAGACUUAGAUUUAAUUUGUGUUGUAAUGGACUAUGGACUAUGGACUUUGGACUUUAAGUUUAAACUUUAAUCAUGUGUUGAGAUUUGUGGUUGUAGUCUUUUGGUUUUAAAUUUUAAUUGGGUUGUGUCUUGGAUUGAACUAAUAGAUAUUGGAGUAUUAGACUUUUGAUGA